rnacentral:rRNA from 1 species
UACAGGGGGGGCAAGCGUUGUUCGGAAUUACUGGGCGUAAAGGGCUCGUAGGUGGCCAACUAAGUCAGACGUGAAAUCCCUCAGCUUAACUGGGGAACUGCGUCUGAUACUGGAUGGCUUGAGUUUGGGAGAGGGAUGCGGAAUUCCAGGUGUAGCGGUGAAAUGCGUAGAUAUCUGGAGGAAUACCGGUGGCGAAGGCGGCAUCCUGGACCGACAUUGACGCUGAACGGCGAAAGCUAGGGGAGCAAACGGG